AACAUUUUUUGCACCACCGCGACCAGCCUUAGAGCGCGGCGGCGGCGGCCACGGCAACAUCAGCACAGCCAUCAGCCGUGCAGAGGCCCCGCACCCGGGAGCGCGGCGGGCUCCGGCUUAGCCCGGAGUUCACCUCCGAGUGCCCCGGGGGCUGGGCUCACCCCUUCUGCUCGCACACACACGCACACUCUCUCUUUCACGGACACAAACGCGUAUACACACUCUCGCACCCACGUACGACCCCGGGCGCAAGCACCCUCCUGGCAGCGAUCGUCCGCUGGCGCGGUAGUAGCCAGGUUCGGUCCCUGCCCCCGGCGGCUGCCGGCUGAGAGCACCGCCGCCGCAAACCGGAGGAGAGCGAUGCGGGGGCCCGAGCGGCAGCUCGAACAGUAAUGUGGAUUUACAGUCGUUUCCCGCAGGAACCGGCUGAGACGCCUGAGGUCCCGGGCACGGGCAGCGCCCGGCGGGGCUGAGCACCUGGCGAGGGGGCGGGGGACCGCACCUGGGGACGCCAUCGAAACUUACGCCUGGACUAGGAAUUACAAGGGUGACCUUUAUUCAGCUGUCUCCUUUUUGAUUCCCAUAACUUCUGGAUCUAUCAAGGACUGCUUACAUUAAAGGCGUUCCUUUUUUCAUGAAACUGAGCUUGCUUAAUCAGAGAUGGAGCAAACAGACUGCAAACCCUAUCAGCCUCUGUCAAAAGUCAAGCAUGAAAUGGACCUAGCUUAUACUAGUUCUUCCGAUGAGAGUGAAGAUGGAAGAAAACCAAGACAGUCAUACAACUCCAGAGAAACUCUGCAUGAGUAUAACCAAGAGCUGAGGAUGAAUUACAAUAGCCAGAGUAGGAAGAGGAAAGAAGUAGAGAAAUCUACUCAA